GACGAACCGUCCAAACGUUGUUCGGAAUCACUGGGCUUAAAGGGCGCGUAGGCGGGUCUCCAAGUCGGUGGUGAAAUCUUUCGGCUCAACCGGAAAACAGCCGCCGAUACUGGGGGUCUCGAGGGAGGUAGGGGUCGAUGGAACUUCCGGUGGGGCGGUGAAAUGCGUAGAUAUCGGAAGGAACGCCGGUGGCGAAAGCGAUCGACUGGACCUUUUCUGACGCUGAGGCGCGAAAGCCAGGGGAGCAAACGGG
rnacentral:rRNA from 1 species